rnacentral:rRNA from 1 species
AACCCGCCUGCAUGAACGUGGAGUUGCUAGUAACCGCAGGUCAGCACACUGCGGUGAAUACGUUCUCGGGUCUUGUACACACCGCCCGUCACGUCAUGGAAGUCGGUAACACUUGAAGUCGCUGGGCCAACCCGCAAGGGAGGCAGGCGCCGAGGGUGGGACUGGUGACUGGGACGAAGUCGUAACAAGGUAGCUGUACCGGAAGGUGCGGCUGGAUCACCUCCUUUCUAGGGAG